GCAUUUGGAAAACACAGCCUUUUCUUAUCAUAGAUUGAUUGCUUCACCCCUCCACUCUUAUUUACACCCCCCUCCUUUUUCAAAACCAAUAGCCACGUGGAGAACAAGGUACUUGUCCCAGGUCAGAGAUGUGGAAUCCAGAAUGGAUUAGAAAAAAAUAAAGGCUUUAAUUCCUUUCAACUAUCAUGAUCAUACAACUGACUUAUUUUGGCCUCCAGCAAGCCCGGACUGCCUGAGUAAUUAGUACCCGCUCCACCCGUCUCGGCGCCAGUGCUGAUACCAUGAUAUAUCAUGCCAGUCUCUUCAGGCCCUCUUUACUGAACAACGUGAAAGGAAAGACCGCCUCCCCAUGCUGGAACUCAGGAUUGCCCAGAAACGUCAGAAACAGGGAUUUAUGUCCUCCUAAAUUCCUAGUUCGCCUGAGAACAUGCCAUAGACGAUAGACUGUCCACAGGAGAGGAUUGUCUUUUAAUUCCUGAUCGAAUUCUGACUCUACACCGUGAAGGAAAGAGAUCAGAUUUCUGGACCCCGCAAAUUGCGCCUCUAGUCGUGUAUUAGCAUAAAUGUCACUAUUAUUUAACCAGUCUCUUAGAAACCUCAACAAAGAAGCAUGGUUAUAAAGCUGGACGUUCGGAAAAUUAAUUCCCCCAUUAGCUUUAGGUUGUUGUAAUUUAUGCAUAGCAAUAAGUGGCCUUUUGCCCUUCCAUAUAAAUUGUCUUAAAAGUU